CUGUUGGAAAAGGCCUUCAGACCCUUGGAGACGGUAGGGUCUAAUGGCUGCAUCUUGUGGCUGCAGUGGGGUGGCAGAGUGAUCCCUGGCCUCUUGCUGUAAGAACAGCCUCCAGGGUCUUAUGGGAGUGGUGCCCAUCAGGGACGCAACCAACACUGUGGGUGAAGUGGUGGAGCCAGUUGACAAAGAUGGUACUGUUGACCCAACCUGAGUCACUCACCCUUCCAACGGACCCAGGAGUUGCUCCAACCAGCAGCUGUUUGUUCAUCCUCUUCCGGGGGAAGAUGAAGAGGGGCAGUACAUACUGUCCCGCUGCACUGAUAUCACAAAUUACUGUGAAGCCCCUCUCUGCGCUGGUCAUCUGUGCAACCUGCUGUUCCAAAAGGAAUGUUAAUCAAAUAAAACAAUUGACAGAUCUUUUACCUAAUGGUGGUGCUUUAAACAUGCGCAAAUUCCUAUUGGAACACAGUCAUUGUAAUAGUGCAGGGCAUGUGCAACGUGCCCUACCUUCAUGUUUUGUCUUACAGGAAUUAUACACAUAUGAGGAGAAAGCUGAAGUCUCUACCUGUCCUCUGUCUGAUUCCCAGUUCGUCCACUAGAUGGAGGACCUGAGCCCUAGGACCAUGCCUCAGGACUACCUGGCCUGAUGACUCCUUGCUGUCCCCAGUCCACCUGGCCGUGCUGCUGCUCCAGUUUCCACUGUUCUGCCUGCGGCUAUGGAACCCUGACUUGUUCACCAAACGUGCUACCUGUCCCAGACCUGCUGUUUUCAACUCUCUAGAGACAGCAGGAGCGGUAGAGAUACUCUGAAUGAUCGGCUAUGAAAAUCCAACUGACAUUUACUCCUGAGGUGCUGACCUGUUGCACAUUAGACAACCACUGUGAUUAUUAUUAGUUGACCAUGCUGGUCAUCUAUGAAAAUUUGAACAUCUUGGCCAUGUUCUGUUAUAAUCUCCACCCGACACAGCCAGAAGAGGACUGGCCACCCCUCAUAGCCUGGUUCCUCUCUAGGUUUCUUCCUAGGUUCUGGCCUUUCUAGGGAGUUUUUCCUAGCCACCGUGCUUCUACACCUGCAUUGCUUGCUGUUUGGGGUUUUAGGCUGGGUUUCUGUACAGCACUUUGAGAUAUCAGCUGAUAUAAGAAGGGCUUUAUAAAUACAUUUGAUUUGAUUUAGAUGAUAACAACCAGAAAUCGGACAUUGUUUUUCCAUUGGAAUUUGGUUGUGCUUUAAUACUGACCAAAAAUAUACUGAGAAAAAAUAUAAACGCAACAUGCAGCAAUUUCAACGAUUUUACUGAGUUGUUAUUAUUGUCCCCAGCACAAGGUGCACCUGUGUAAUGAUCAUGCUGUUUAAUCAGCUUCUUGAUAUGCCACACCUGUCAGGUGGAUAGAUUAUCUUGGCAAAGGAGAAAUGUUCACUAACAGGGUUGUAAACAAAUUUGUGCACAACAUUUGUUAGAAAUAAGCUUUUUGUGCCUAUGGAACAUUUCCGGGAUAUUUUAUUUCAGCUCAUGAAACCUGGGACCAACACUUCACAUGUUGUUUAUAUUUUUGUUCAGUAUAGAUGGUUGAAAGAAUAGUGAUAACACAUUGGGAAUUCAACAAACUUCUGGCUGUCUUUUUUGAGCGGGUGAAUAAAGGUUGAAAUCUCAAUGUCUCAACCAACUAUUACCCAAAUUUCCACGUGGAAAUUACCUGGCGUGCCCAGUGGGUACAGUGUACUGUAUUCCAAGGUUGUACUGACUUGUGGGUCAGGAGUCAAUUUGAGAUUCAGCAAUAUUCACUAUAUCACCCAAUAUGAUCACACCCUGCUUCGUAGAAAGCACCUGUUUGGUCUUUCUGUUGGAAAGCUCCCCUUUGGCACCAAAUAAUUUUUACUGAAAAACCUGGUUAGUGCAAAUCAUCCAAUGGAACAAGUGAAUGCUGGCGGAACCCCGUUCCGCCAGCGGGACCCCUCGCCAACAGCCAAUGGAAUAGCAGGGCGCGAAAUACAAAACAACAAAAAUCUCAUAAUUCAAAUUUGUCAAACAAUCAACUAUUUUACACCAUUUUAAAGAUAAACUUCUCGUUAGUCCAACCACAUUGUCCGAUUUCAAAAAGGCUUUACGACGAAAGCGUAACAUUAGAUUAUGUUGGGACAUCACCUUGACAAGAAAAACCACACAGCCAUUUUCCAAGCAAGGAGAGGCAUCACAAAAACCAGAAAUACAGCUAAAAUGAAUCACUAACCUUUGACGAUCUUCAUCAGAUGACACUCCCAGGACUCAAUGUUACACAAUACAUGUAUGUUUUGUUCGAUAAAGUUCAUAUUUAUAUCCAAAACCCCCAUUUUACAUUGGCGCGUGAUGUUCAGAAAAUGUAUUGCCUCC
rnacentral:lncRNA from 1 species